rnacentral:rRNA from 1 species
AUGAACGCUGGCGGCGUGCCUAACACAUGCAAGUCGAACGGAGAUUUAACGCUGAUGAGGCUUCGGCGGAUUCUUGUUAAAUCUUAGUGGCGGACGGGUGAGUAACGCGUGGGCAACCUGCCUCAUACUGGGGGAUAACAGUUGGAAACGACUGUUAAUACCGCAUAAGCGCACAGAGUCGCAUGACUCAGUGUGAAAAACUCCGGUGGUAUGAGAUGGGCCCGCGUCAGAUUAGCUAGUUGGUGGGGUAAAGGCCUACCAAGGCGACGAUCUGUAGCCGGACUGAGAGGUCGGACGGCCACAUUGGGACUGAGACACGGCCCAAACUCCUACGGGAGGCAGCAGUGGGGGAUAUUGCACAAUGGAGGAAACUCUGAUGCAGCGACGCCGCGUGAGUGAAGAAGUAUUUCGGUAUGUAAAGCUCUAUCAGCAGGGAAGAAAGGCUCGUAAGAGAGAUGACGGUACCUGACUAAGAAGCCCCGGCUAACUACGUGCCAGCCGCGGC